rnacentral:rRNA from 1 species
CGGGGUGCAGCAGGCGCGAAAACUCUACAAUGCAGGCAACUGCGAUAGGGGAACAUCGAGUGAUCCUCAUAUUGGGGGUCUGUCCACCCGCCUAAAAAGCGGGUGUUAGCAAGGGCCGGGCAAGACCGGUGCCAGCCGCCGCGGUAAUACCGGCGGCUCGAGUGGUGGCCGAUAUUAUUGAGUCUAAAGGGUCCGUAGCCGGCUUUGCAAGUCUCUCGGGAAAUCCAGCGGCUUAACCGUUGGUCGUCCGGGGGGUACUACAUUGCUUGGGACUGGGAGAGGUAGGAGGUACUCAGGGGGUAGGAGUGAAAUCCUGUAAUCCUUUGGGGACCACCGGUGGCGAAGGCGUCCUACCAGAACAGGUCCGACGGUGAGGGACGAAAGCUAGGGGCACGAACCGGAUUAGAUACCCGGGUAGUCCUAGCCGUAAACGAUGCUCGCUAGGUGUCACAACAGUCGUGAACUGUUGUGGUGCCGUAGGGAAGCCGUGAAGCGAGCCACUUGGGAAGUACGACCGCAAGGUUGAAACUUAAAGGAAUUGGCGGGGGAGCACAAGGGCGAAUCGC